rnacentral:lncRNA from 1 species
CAGGCACGCGCCACCAUGCCCGGCUAAUUUUUUCCAUUUUUGGUAGAAAUGACCUCAGAGCUAUUUUUGCUCAGAGCUGGUCUCAAACUCCGGAGCUCCAGCAAUCCACCUGCCUCGGCCUCCCAGAGUGCUAGGAUUACAGGCACGAGCCACCGCGCCAGCCCAACUCCAACCCUUGCUACAACCAGAGAGCUGACUCCUGUGUUUGAGGUAAGAGUGUCUGGACAGUUUGCAGGUCUGAGGGGAGAUGGGAAGGCCCGCUGUGGGGAAGAGGGAGCUGGUCCACAGUGAACAGUAGAAUCUGCGUGAAUUGAGUUUAAGGGAGAUCAUCUCCCCAGGGGCCCAAGCCUGAACCCUCUCUCUCCAGCCCCCCAUUCCUUCCCUUUCUUCUGCCUUCAUCUUGACAGACCUCAGAAGUCAAAAUAAGUGAUUUCCUUGCCUUUGUCCAGAGCAAGUCUCCCCUGGCCCCCGUCUGAGUUUUCCAAUCGGUUUUCAACCCUAGCGAGGGCUGGCUGGGCUGACAGCAGCAGGG